UAUUGUUGUUGUUUAAAUGGAAGGGUCAGUGGUUGGGUUUUAGCAGGAAAACUGGCAUCCAUCCUGUCCUGAGGGAUCGUUGAGGGUUUCUAUGCAGGAGUACACUGGGAGCUGCGCUUUUCACCUAUUAUGCUUCUACAAAUAAGGGUGGGGCUUUUCUAGGGGGUUAGCGUCUCUAUGUGCGGGCUUUAUUAUUUGGGAGGUGUUAGGAAUGUAAGGGACCCUCUGAACUUGUCCCACAGGAAGGAUUUGGAGAGGGAAAGGAGGGAGUUGGGUGUGUUCACCCAGAAACAGGGAGAGCAAGGAAAGCAAAGCCUGGGAUGGAAUAACGUUACCUGACUGUUGGGAGAUAAGUGAUGGAUUAAAGAGGAGUGGAAGGGACCACCAGAGGAGCGAAGGGGACUUUUAAAAAUAGGAACUAAAAGAACACGAAUUCAAGUCAAAGAGAAGACAGAAGAUGCUGGGAAGGGUUUGAGGCUUUGGGGGGGAGAAGAAUGGUAAUUGCUAAAAUGAGGCCAGAGCUCGUAGUGAAGGGAGAUUGAGAUUGAGGGCAGGGUGGUGCCUCCUGGAAGGCUUGGGGAAGAACUACUUGGAUAGUUGUAGACUAAAGUCGGAUGGCUGUAAACCAUCUGACCUUAUAGGAUCCUUGCUAUACAUGAAGUUUUGUAAUUCUGAAUUUCAGGUUAGGGGUCCACUCUUGAGAAGGGGUAAAUUGUAUAGGGUCUUGGGGCUGAGGAGGCAUUCAGCAUUCAACAACAUAGCCGACACAAAAGGCAAGGCUCCUGGUUAAGGGUUCCAAGGGAGGUAGGACCCCUCCAAAGUGUGCGGCUGUUCCUUGGGGCUGCAGGGGAGUGGGGAGAUGGGUCAGACCAGAGGCUGUGGCUUGCGGGGGAGAGGAAAGAUGGACUUCUGAUUGGAGAGAGCUGGAAUGGGGCAGACAGAAAACAAUCUCCGAGGAGGGAGAGAGAGCAGGAAAAGUGGGAGAGAGGGGAGGGGAGAGGUGGCCUUUGUAAAAGAGGGAGAGCUGAGUCAGAGCGUGGGGGGCAGGGAGGGGGAGGGAGAGAACCCAGAGAAGAGGUGAAGGCAGAGGAGGAGGAGGGUAUCCAUGGAAAUAAACCAGGUCUCAGAGAAAUCAGGCUUUUGGAGGCCUGGAGCUCAGUCCAAGGCAGAGGAAUCCGGUCGGACCGGUGGGGGGCUCCACCGAGCGCAGUCUCCGUAUCUCCCCAGGGCCACCCGGCUGCCCAAAGGCUCCUCGAGGGGUCAGCGGGCGCUG